GGCGACCUGGACGCGCUUCGGCGCACCCAGAAACCCUUUGUGAACUUAUACCUAUUGUUGCCUCGGCGUAGGCCGGCCUCUUCACUGAGGCCCCCUGGAAACAGGGAGCAGCCCGCCGGCGGCCAACCAAACUCUUGUUUCUACAGUGAAUCUCUGAGUAAAAAACAUAAAUGAAUCAAAACUUUCAACAACGGAUCUCUUGGUUCUGGCAUCGAUGAAGAACGCAGCGAAAUGCGAUAAGUAAUGUGAAUUGCAGAAUUCAGUGAAUCAUCGAAUCUUUGAACGCACAUUGCGCCCUCUGGUAUUCCGGAGGGCAUGCCUGUUCGAGCGUCAUUUCAACCCUCAAGCCUGGCUUGGUGAUGGGGCACUGCCUGUAAAAGGGCAGGCCCUGAAAUCUAGUGGCGAGCUCGCCAGGACCCCGAGCGUAGUAGUUAUAUCUCGCUCUGGAAGGCCCUGGCGGUGCCCUGCCGUUAAACCCCCAACUUCUGAAAAUUUGACCUCGGAUCAGGUAGGAAUACCCGCUGAACUUAAGCAUAUCAAA
rnacentral:rRNA from 1 species